rnacentral:misc_RNA from 1 species
GUUUAGAAAGCCUCACCAGCUUCUACCCAGUACCAUCUUUGGUAGAAGUGUGGGUGAUACACUGCCCCAAUAUGAGUGUUUUCACCCAGGGAGUCCUAAGCACACCAAAGCUAAAAGCAAUUUAUUCAGAAGAAAGCGAUAAAUUGAUUUGGAAGAAAGACCUUAACAACACAAUAAAUCAAUUGCACAAAGAAAGGAAUGCUCGGCUUUCUGAACAAGGCGCUUCAUGCAGUUGUUAGCUGCAAACAAAGUUUGGGGGAGAUAGUAGAUCAAUUAGCAUCUCUCUCGACUUGCAUUUGAGUUUUAUCAACCCAUCUCCAUUAUCCUUUUGAAGUAAUUGUUUGUCACACUGCUACUGUGGAGGAGUCACGGACAUGGCAGUACUCCAUCUGGGUCUUUUGUUGCUUGCUUUUGUGGUUAAUCUUUUUGUAAAUAAAAUUCUUGUUUUCUUGCAAAUAUGUAUCUUGACAUGCUUGGACAAGAACUGGUGAGUGAUUAAUGAUAAACUCUCUAAAUGAGAUUUGAGUUCCUCCCUGCAGAUAUUCUAUCUAUUAUUAUUUGAUUGUUUGUGC